UGGGGGGUAGUGUGUGGGCAUAAGGGGCUGUUAACUCCAAGGUGUGGGCAAACCCACUCCCCCAU
rnacentral:tRNA from 1 species